GAAAAAACAAUGAAAUAAGCCAGUGAAUGUAAGCUCCACAAAGUUGUCAUAAUGACAAGCUCACUCUGGGGAGAGGAGUUUGACAUCUCCAUCAACCGUCUCCUUGUCAGCCCCUAGGAAGCUGGGACCACAAUGAGCCCUUACUGAGAGCUUGGGGCAGGGGUAAAUGCUGUGCUGAACUCAUGUACAAACUGAUGGCGAUAGACACCAUCCGGUGGUCCUGGGACAUAUAUGUGGAACAUAUAACAGGCCACUGCCAGUAUGAGGAGUCUCCCUAACCCCUGGGAGGCACAAAUAGUCCACCGCCAGAAUUGCCAUAGGGAUGGAUCAUCAAGACCUGGAAUAAAUGGUUUGCCUUUCUAACCCAGAGAAGAGGCAUUACAACAAGUGAACAAACACGGUGAACAAAUUAUGAAGGUAAGCAAACCUCUUCCUUAAAUAACCCCUUUCACACCCAAAGCUUUUGUAGGCAGUUGCUUCUUUUUCUUUCUUCUUCUUCUUUUAAAAAAAAACAAAUCAGCUUGCAAGAUUGAAAGCACAGAACAAUGUAUACACACACACAUCUUGGAUAAAUAUCCAAGGUAACAGAAUGAAAUAGCAGUAGUAAUAGUAUGCUUAUUUUAAGUAAAUUCAUUGGCUUGUUGUGGAAGCUGUUAACAAACAAGUGCAUGAGAUGAAAAUAUGAAAUAAUGAGGGAUAGUUUUGCUUCUGGAGAUGUGGAUAAAAAUGCUUCAAUAUUUAUAGAUGACAAAAACCAUUUAAAACAGAUGCAAGUAAGAGCGGAAUAAUGAGGAUUUUGAUGAGUCCAUAACACAGCUUCUGUAUCAUAAAUGAUGAAGAAUCAAACUGUCUAUAAGACUCGGAAGACAACUCUCAGUGUGUCAUUGAUGAAUGAUGAGAAAAAAGGAAGACAAAGAGAAGUCUUGAUGCAUAGAAUAAUGAUGUCUCCGGGUCUCUAGUACACUCAUCUUGGAGCUGCCAAAUACACAGAGAAUAAUAAACUGGGUGGAAGGUGGAUAGAUAGAUCUUGUAGGUUUCAUAAACUAGGAGGAAGCUGGUGCAGUUAGUAAUUUUACCAAAGGCAAGAAUGUGACCCAGCUGGUUGAAACAUCAAGGGUGCAUGGUAUAGGUUUAACAGAUAAAUCUCAAAGGAAAGAUAAUACAUUUCACAAUCACUUGGGUUUGGGGAAACCUGCAGCUGUUUUGAUGCUUGUUGGAAUGACAGCAGAUGAUGCUUAUAAAGUCAACAUUCUAUAUUUGCCUUUACAUUGAUUCCAAACAGUAGUCACACAUCCGUCUGGGGAAGAGGUAAAGCUGUAUUCUUACAGGGACCAUCAAGAAGUUUCAAUAAAACAUCAUUCAUUCUUUGUGGCUAGAGGAAAGUUUGUUACAAGAGAAAACUUUCUAGCUGCUGACUGCAUAGCACUGUACAGAUCAGAUCCAGCACCCAUCUCUGGUGGUAGAAGUGCAAGAAAUGGUGUUCUGCCACCGCUGCCACCACAGAUGGAAUGCCUCCCUCUUGCUGGAGAGCAGGAGGCAUUUCUGUGCUCACUGCAGCCCCCCAGGGUGGAGAAAAGGAUUGCCAAUGCAUUGAGGGACAUCCUGCUUCUCUCCAAACUUGGCAAAAGACAGGGUGUUCUUGUGUGUAGUGUUGUCAUUCCUCUCGCCUCUCCCUCUGGGUAAUGUCUUAAGAACUGCCCCCUCUCUUGCUGUACUUGGCACAGAGCCCUGGCACUCUUCCCCUUGGGGUGGAGAAGACAAGGCACAAAGCUUUGAGGAGCACCCCAGCUGUUGCAACACCAGAAGUGGGGGAAGGCAUGGCAUGGGGUUUUCCGAGAACAGCACAUUCCCAUUUUGUCUCAUAUAGCAAAACAGGAUGGGUCACCCUGAUAUAGAUUGUAGUCUACAUGCCCCUUCUAAUACAGUUUAAAUAAAGUAUAUUUCCUUAUGUAUAUUUCCUUAUGCAUGUGCCUGGAAUGCACAUUUUGCCUAAAUAUUUGAAUGUAUUUUAAAACAUUAAUCAGACACUAGCAAGACCCCUGGUCCAAUCGCUAGAUUGUUUUCAUGGGUGCAAAGCUUUUUUGAGUGUGCUCAAAGGCACAUUCAGAAUUCUUAGAGUACAGUAGACACCAUCGCUGCUGGGGGCACAUGCUCAUUCACAAAAGGGCUCCUUUCGGCAUUACUGCUUGCAAAACACCCAUUUUAUGGAACCUGAUAAUGAGAUUGGGGCUGGCGUGCAACUGUAAUAACUGCAAACUGACGCAGAAAUGUGAAGAACUGAACUAAAGACUGGAAGCGUGAGGAAUGAGCGAAAGCAAAAUUGACAGAUUCAUCCCUCUCUACUGUUAGCCAGCUUAGCAUGAUGCUGGCAGCCAUGGAGUGCCUUGCUGGAGCUGCCACCAUUCACUUUAUCUUUCGUCUGAAGUGCAAAAACUUCCCACCAAGCAGCUUCCAGCAAUAGAGGCUCCAGUGGGCUGCUAACAGUGCUAUCCAGAGCAGCAAAGAGCUGGCUUGGCUGUGGAAUGUACAGCCAGGUGUAUCCCACAGCAGCAGAAGUUGGAGCGGUGAUGGCGUGGGUGGACAUUUGUUUGUUUUUAUUUUUAAAUAAUGUUUAUUACUUUUAUAGAUUACAAAAAGAGAAAAAAGAAGAGGGAAAAAAACAGAAAAAAGACAAAGAAGGAAAACAAAAAGAAAAAAAAAUACUAUACAAUAUAUAAACAAUGCAAAACACAACCUAAACUCAAAAACUAAACACGUUAAACUAAACUAAGCGAACCCCACUAAACUAGACAAACCCCACUCCCUAACCUUAGCCCUAAAUGAAACAAAACAAAAACAAUUUUAAAAAACAAAAACAAAAAAAAUACAUCCUCUCUUUUCCGUACUCUAUCUUUCAUUCCCUUGUUUCCUCGACCUCCUCUCACCUCCCUUUUUGUAUUCCACUUCAUUUAAUUGUUUCAGCAAAUCCUUUCCAUCUUUCUCCAUUUUCUAUCAUAUUGUAAAUAACGUAUUUUUAAACCUUAUUUUCCAUUUAAACUAAAAUACUUAUAUAUACUUAUCUCCUUAUAACAUUUCUGCUAAGCCCAUAAAAAAUCAUUCCACCAUUUUUCUAUCACUCAUUAGUUUUACCAUAAGUCUAUAUAUAAACUUUAAAUUUUCCAAUCUUCUUCCACCAUCUCCUCUCCCUGGUUUCGGAUUCUGCCAGUCCUUUCCGUCAAUUCCAUAAAGUCCAGCAACCUGGUGAUCUUAUGUCCGAGGCUCUUAACUCUUUUCCAGGUCCCUUCUGCAGAUCUUCUUCAUUUUCUUUAAUGCUAAAAUGCAAAUCUCGGGGAAACUCCAACCUGUCAAUCCUUUUCUUCCUUCUGAACAGAUCAGCCAAAUUUCCAUAGUUAAAGCUACAGUUCAUAAAGUAUUUCAGGGCAUAUUUCAAGAUUCCUCCAAGUCCAAAGGCCCCCAAAACUUCAAUCUCCUCCAAGCCCGAGUCCAUGACCCAAAAGUCAAUUAAUCCCUGCAUAGAGGGAUCUUUCCAACUUUCCUUCUUUCGUCCAAGCCGGGGUCCAUUCCUCAGAGUCUGACUUUUCCUAGAUUCAAUCAUAGAAGGCCUCAACUUAUAGUCCUCAAUUUGCUUCUGUGAAGCCACAGAUCUGACUUGUACUACUUCAUGUUCAACUUUAUAUUCAACAACAGCAACAUUCUCCUUCUCCUCCUUCUCCUCCACCAUUUGUCCUGCCAAAAUGGAUUCCUGUACCAAGUCCUGAAUUAUUUCUGUGUUGAUGUUCGCUUUUUGACUCAAAUUAGUCACUUUCUGUUCCAAAUUAUUAACUUUAAAAGUCAUGUCAUCCAUCUUCUUGUGAAGCUGUCCCAGCGAACAGCUUAUCUUACAUAAAACAGUCACAAUGGCCUCUCCUGUCAACAUUUUUAAAUAGUCCAAGGUCGCUCUCUGGUUCUCAAACUCCUUAUCUGCAGCUGGAAAUUCCCCAGUUACAGUACUGUAACAGUUUCAAAAGCUCCCUCUAGAGGGAAACAGUCUCCACUUGUAUCAGUUCUUUCAAGCACAACUUCAAACAUUCAAGAUAAAAUUUCAGUUGCUUUUCCUCUUUUUUAAAGGCAGAGAAGGACAAUGGAAACAGUAUCUUGCUCUUAGCUAGCUGUCAAAUCCGUUCUGUCAAUUGCACUCUCUCCAAACGUCAUCUGGCAACCCGUUCCCAGGUUCAGAGCAGUAGUGAUUUGAUUUUUCACUCUCUCCUGCAGGCUCACUAGAUCCAAGAUUUCCCCCUCUUCUCCUGCUUCCAAGGGGGGUUUUGUUUUUUAAACCGAUGGAAAUUUAAUUCUUUGCCAAAAGCUUUCAAAGACUUUAACUUGUAACGUCUUUGCUUCAGUCUAUUUACAAAAACGGGAGGCAGACUUCCUGUUUAUGACCUCCCGCUUCAGUGCCAAAUUAAAGUAUUUAAAAGUCCAAUUUUCCGAUUUACUCACGAGUAGUUGUUUAUAAUCCAAUUUUCCACAGGAAAAAGUCAGCGCUCUCCGGCAACAGCAAUGCGGCUUCACUCCGUGAAAAAAGCAGUCGAUUCAAAGCACCGCGCCACUCACCCCACGUCGCUCCGGAUCCCCAAAACCAGGUUUCCCCGUGAGUAGGGGAGGCGCAAAAGGUGCCAGCCGAAUCCCACGUCCACAGGCUUCUCCCGCCUGUGCUUUUUAAUGGGUCUCCGCCUUGCCGCGGCGGUCCAGACCCUAAUUCUCAUGAAGCGGAUUCCUUCUAGUCAGAGGAAAUCCGCCAUUGCCGGAGGCGCUAACCCGGAAGUCUGGAGUGGGUGGACAUUUGACAGUGGCAAGGGGUUCAGGCAGGCAUCCACCCAUCCCAGUCAAGCUCAUGUGAGAAAUUUAGUGUGCCUAAGUUUUAAAAAAAAAUGACAUGAAAAGAAAAUGGGUUGGACUCAAGCUAUUGAAUAUCAGUUAACAAUUACAGUUUUUAACCUGUAUAUUUAUUUUGCAUGAAUGCUCCAAAUUUCAUUACACUUGUCCACGCAAAGUCUACUAUACUAUUUCCUAUUUAUUUUAUUUUAAAAAAUUAUUAUUUGUUAAAAUUGCAUACCACCCUAUACCCAUAGAUCUUAGGGUGGUUCACAACAUAAAAUUACAAAUUAACUGAAAUUACAAAUUCAUAAUAAAUUAUUCAUUAUCAGUUGAAGCAAUUCAGGAGACUCAAAGAUCUGUAGGUGCUUCACAUUUGCCAUACAUUUUGCUUUUCGUGGCCAGGCGUGACAACCACAGUCUCCAGGGAUCACAACAAAGGAAUAAAGACUCUGACAUGUGUUAUGGAAUUAAAAUUAGGCCACAACUUUAUUUAAACUUCUGAAUGUAGGAAGACCUUGGCUUAGGCCUUGGGCAUGUAUCCCUCCCAGACCUCCAGCUGGGGGAAAGUGGGGUUAAUCAGGGGAAAUGGGAUAUGGGGGUGCUCUGUGAGACGUAAGUGUAUCAGGCAGCCAAGCCCAUAUCCCUGAGUUUGUUCACUGACAACCUUUCAGCGUAUGGCCAGUGACACUCAUAUAUAUAACCCCUUUAAGAGGGGACCCUGGAAUCACCACUGCAGGAGGGUGAAUCAUCGCUUCAGCCACCCCACCCCCACCCCCAUUAUAGGGAAGAAAAGACUAAAGGAUUCCACCCAAGGCCAUAACCUGCCAAUGCAGGAAAAAAUUUUCCCAGUCCUUCAAUAGCAACCAGUCACAGACUGCAGCAGCGUCUGCUAAACAGGAAAAACUUUAUUACUGAGGCUGGGCGUGAACCUCCAAUUAAUAACAUUGAAAAGCAAGCCAGCCAGCCCCCUGUUUCUAGUAGGUUCCCUGGGAACUGUAGCCCCGCAUGCGAUGCCACAAAGGGCACCCACAUUUAAAGUGUGAGUGCUCAUUAGGACAAGCUUUUGGGGACACAUUUAGCUUAUUAAGUUUUCUACCACUCUUUUGGUACAUGUUGGGAUGUCCAUCCUGACACUUGGGCUUAUAGUCAUCUCAGUGAAUGGUCUCUAUUCAAUAUCUGCUUUAUUAUCAUGAGCAAGCACAAAAGAGGAAGAUUUUCCUUUCUUGAAAGUUAGAUUGCUUGCUAAGACACUACUGUUAAGAAAUCCUGUGAAUCACAACUGAGAAGUAACAGCUAAGAUAAUAUAUGGUUUAUAUUCAUUUGCACAAAAUACCACAACUUGAUAGCAUUUCCCCACCCUACUUCAAUAGUGUUUUGGAAGUAUCUGUUUCACCAUUUCCAGUUGCUUUAAUCCACAUCUAUAAUUUUCCAACAUUGUGAGUCAAUAUCUUUUCCUCCUCAAAAUGUCUUAACAGAAAACAGAACACUGAAGAUUCAGUUUGAACACACACACAGAGAGAGACAGACACACAAGCAUGCACUACAAUCAUAGUUAAUUGCACAACACUGCUUUCAACCUAAUGGGGACAUCUUUGCCAAACAAAGGUAAAAGUAAAGGGACCCCUGACCAUUAGGUCCAGUCGUGACCAACUCUGGGGUUGCGUUGCUCAUCUCGCUUUAUUGGCCGAGGGAGCCGGUGUACAGCUUCCGGGUCAUGUGGCCAGCAGGACUAAGCCACUUCUGGCGAACCAGAGCAGUGCACAGAAACGCCAUUUACUUUCCUGCCAGAGCCUAUUUAUCUACUUGCACUUUGACGUGCUUUCGAACUGCUAGGUUGGCAGGAGCAGGGACCGAGCAAUGGGAGCUCACCCCGUUGCGGGGAUUCGAACUGCUGACCUUCUGAUCAGCAAGCCCUAGGCUCUGUGGUUUAACCCACAGCACCACCCGCGUCCCCUUGCCAAACCUUGGGCACCCCUAAAAAAGACUGUAGUAUUGCCCAGAGGAGGAGGCAAUGGCAGGUGGGUCCUAAUGGGCCAAAACUGAGAGGCAGUUGUUGUUGUUGUUUGGUUGUUUAGUCGUGUCUGACUCUUCAUGACCCUGUGGACCAGAGCACGCCAGGCACUCCUGUCUUCCACUGCCUCCCAAAGUUUGGUCAAACUCAUGCUGGUAGCUUCAAGAACACUAUCCAACCAUCUCGUCGUCUGUCGUCCCCUUCUCCUUGUGCCCUCCAUCUUUCCCAACAGCAGGUUCUUUUCCAGGGAGUCUUCUCUUCUCAUGACGUGGCCAAAGUAUUGGAGCCUCAGCUUCAGGAUCUGUCUUUCCAGUGAGCACUCAGGGCUGAUUUCCUUAAGAAUGGAUAGGUUUGAUCUUCUUGCAGUCCAUGGGACUCUCAAGAGUCUCUUCCAGCACCAUAAUUCAAAAGCAUCAAUUCUUCGGCGAUCAGCCUUCUUUAUGGUCCAGCUCUCACUUCCAUACAUCACUACUGGGAAAACCAUAGCUUUAACUAUACAGACCUUCAUUGGCAAGGUGAUGUCUCUGCUUUUUAAGAUGCUGUCUAGGUUACCCACAUUUUAUUAGGUGGCACCUCACUUCACACCAAUUCUUGCGCCCUUCAUCCCUCCCUAGGCUGUAUGGGCUUUUCUACUUACCUAUUUAUGGGAGCUGAGUAGGAAUUUUUGAGGAGCCCCAAAUUGGCCCAGGAACUCUUCUUUUUGCCUUCUCCAUACUCCAGUGAGUUUUCUUGUUCUGGAGUGAAGUAAUUUCUGAUUAGUAUAAUUGGCUGAUAGUCUGGACAGGAAUGUAUUUAACAAGUUUUUUGGGGGGUGGGUAUCUAUGGCAUUAUUGGGUUUGUGGCACUUGGGUCACCCAUUAGCAGCUUGGCCCACGCAUCUGGUGUAAUGCGAAACUGGUCAACUUCCAUUCCUAAGACUACCAUUGCAAGGAGGAAUAAUUGCUUCCAAUCCCUUGUGGCUGGGCCACAGAAUGAGCCUGUAGACAUGCCUAGAAGUGGGAAAAGAAACUCAUCCCUCCUACGUUAGGGGACUUCCCUGCCCAGAUUAUGUAUUGUUUCAGUUGAUCUGGUUAAUUCAGUUGCAGAUCCUCCAAAACCUUAUAUUAAAUAAAAUAUAAAUAAAUAUAAAUAAAAUAUAAAUAAAAUACAAAUAAAAUAUAAAAUAUAAAUAAAAUAUAAAAUAUAAAUAAAAUAUAAAUAAAUAAAUAAAUUAAAUAAAAUUUAAAUAAAAUUAAAUAAAAUAAAACCUCUGGGUUUGAGGUCACCUGAGCCUUCUUUGAGGUGUGAUGGCAAUGGCCAGCCAUAUCCUCAAUGCAGGUGCAAAGACCCCAGCAGUUUCAUUUUCUUUAAGAAAUAGCCCACCUUGCACCAAAGAUGCAGAGUUGAGUCAUCUACUGCUACCUGAGCUAGCUAUGAUUUAUUUUGUAAAUAAAAGGGCCAUAGCUCCAUGGUAGAGCCUCUGCCUUGCAUGCAGAAGUUCCUUAGUUCAAUCCCUGGCAUCUCCAGACAGGGAGAGACCACCAUACCCAAAACCCUGCCAGCAAAUGUAAAGAAUACUGAACAAGAAAGACCAAUAUAGGCAGCUUUCUAUGUUUCUAUAGGUAGCACACAUAUACACACACACCUUUUUAAAAGCAUUGAAAGCAUUGAAAUAUGGAGAGUUUAAAAUAUAUGAGUCCCUUUUGAAAAAUGUGCAUUUAAAUAAUGUUGUUGAGUAGGGAUGAAUGAAUGAAUUUUCAGCCAGAGUUGUUUCCUCCCAUAAAUCCAUUCUAUCCCAUUUCCACAUUAAUCUGAUUUUUAAAAAUUACGUUAUGGUGUACAGUCACUUCCUGGAAGCAUUUUCAAAAGCAUUUUUACUGCAUGGCUGGCUACGGGGUUCUAAGCAGCUUACAACAUUUUUAAAAGUACAGUAUGAACCCACAUGCUGCUUGAUCCAUUGAUUAUGCAGCUUAAUUCACAACUCAGAAUUCUGAUCCAUGCUUGGGUCCUGUGGGAGAAGAAUGGGUAAGUUCCCUGCAAAAUGUGGAGUGAACCAGGAUUCUCCUCAACCCUAAUUGUAAUAAUGGGUGUUUUAAACAUUUAUUAGUGUUAGCAGUAGUGGUGGUAGUACAUGGAAGAAUGCUUCCAAGACCAGUUAUACAUUUUUUUUUUGUUCUUAUCAAGGGAAAAUAAACCAUUAAAAAGGAAGAAAGCAUAGGACACAUAUGCAGCAAUACAGGCAAGUUAUUAUUGGGAGCAUUUGAUGGAAUUUGAUUUAAAGUACCCUAUUAAUUAUAAUUAAUAAUUCAAAAUAUUCUAAACUCAUACAUCCCCGCUGAGCUACUUGACAGGCCAAACAAGCAAUUAACACGGAAUAAGUUAACUGUAAUGAAGGAAGCUAACCUAAUAAGAUUGUUUUAAAAAAUAAAAAUGGCAUUGAAAUUUGAGCUCAAAUUUCUCAGGACACUUUAAAAUAAAAAUAAAAAUAUGAAACAUUUCUUUCUCUGUCUUAGAAAAGAAGCUCACGGUGUCAUUUUCUCUCUCUAAAUAUUCUGCAUUAUAUACUGUUUGAUUGACUAAUAAAAAUCCUGACUGAAAUUGAGAAUGUUCUUCAUUUUUGGAGUGUGGCAGCCAUCAUUUCUCUCUCUCUCUCUCUCUCUCUCUCACACACACACACACACACACUGGAAUGACACUAUGACUGUAUUCAGAAAGCAGAGCACCUGGUUCCAUCCUCGUGAUGUUUCAUUGCGUGCUCAUUUCCACAUUUUAUGUGAUCUUUCAUAUGAUGUAAAAUCCACUUCUGGGAAUCUAGUAGAAUCUAGUGGAAGUUUAGUGGUGACUUCCAUGUUAAUUGCUUCCAGAAAAAUGCCUGUUUGCAACCCCAUUAAUCUGGAAAACCACAGGCGUUUUAAGAUGACAAAACUUGGGGCAGUGUACUGGCAGACAAUUCUUUAGCGCAGCAUGCCAGUACAUUGAUCAAAAAGCCACAAUUCCAGAACAAUAUUGCAGUGUAAAAGGAAUGUUGGAAGCCAGGACAAAAGUGCUAGCAUUAUUACCAGUAAAACUAACAAACUAAACCCAACGUCUGAAUGCAAUCUUUGGCUGGGACAUUGUGGAGAAUACAAAAUGGUGGCCAGACUGCCAACACGGUUGCUGCUGCACCUUGCAGGGGAGGAUGGGCGAAUAUGUCAAUUUUUGUGUAUCUCUGUUUUUCAUGGAAGAGAAAUUGUUCCAUUCCAUAAGAGACUGUGAAACAAGAGACUUAAGUUAUGGGAUCAGAGAAAGUGAGAGAAUGAAAAUACAUUUCCAAACGCUCCUAAACAUCACAAUUAUGCCCAGUGUUAGAGCAUUUCACUUGAAUGCAGACGGUCUGAGGUUCCCUGGUGUUUCCAGGUAGGACUGGGGAAAGUUCAUGGCAGAAACCCUGGAGAAAUGCUGUGAGUCAGAGCAACUAGAUAGACCAGUGACCUGACUCUGGAUAAGGUAGCUUCCCAUGGUUCUACAUUCCAGCCUAUGACCCCAUCUAUUUUAUACUGUACAUUUAAAGCAGCAUCAUACCACUUUAGACAGUCAUAGCUUUGUCUGAAGAAUUCUGCGAACUGUAGUUAGUUAAGAGUGCUGAGAAUAGUUAGGAGACCCCCCAUGUCCCCUCACACACCUGCAAUUCCCCUUUCCAUGAAACUCUGGGAAUUUUAGCUCUGACAGGGAAUGUGCACAAGAGCUAGGUCUGUUAUUGCUUCAUUUGUUUUGGUUUCUUCCUUUUUCUCCCUUCUUUUCUUUUCAUUCUUCUUGUAUUGCUAAUGGCAUUACUCCACCUGUAACCAAAGGCCUUCUAAAAUACAUUAAAUUCAAACAAGAUAUGUGCAAUCUUCUCACUUGGUUGUUAAGCAUCUUAAAAAGAAAACUGCAUUUGCUUUCACUUAUGGUUAUUAAACAUGUCAACCUGUGUUACAUAACAGUUCUUUGAAGUACUCUGAGUUAGGUAUGUCAAAUUGCUUCGGCUCAUCCAUUACAAAUGCAAUGCGCAAGCUUCAUACAUCAUGGAAACGAAAGGUGGCAUUUAAUCUUAACAGCAGUUCUGAAGUGUGGGGAUGAAACGGAACAACUGUUUAACGCACCCAAACAAGAUUUGGAUGCUUUUGCUGUGCACGCUUGGGGUUGGUUCAUAUUGCCAACAGCCCUCAUACAAUUGCCUCUGAGAACCUCUGGGGCCAAUGUCCACGAAGCAGUCCUGAUAUAUGUGCUGAUAUUAGGUUGGGCACUUAUGCAUAACCAGGGGGAAAGAAAAAGAUUAAAUGCAUUGCCAAAAAAGAGAAGAGAAAAUAGGAGAGCAAUUUGCAUAACAUUUGCAUGCACUGAUUUAUUGCAUAGAUUUCAAUUUAGAAAUAAUUACUGUACUUUAAACAGAAACAUAAUACAUCUCCACUAUGGUGGGGGAGACUGUGAUCAGUUGACCUGUGUACUCACUCAGUCUGUACUCUAGGUGCUAACUGUUACACUUAUUAUUUUCCCUCCUGGUGUGAUCAAUGAAAGAAACCUUGCCCCACCCCCCCACCCACAGGAGGAGGAGGAGGAAGAGGAGGAGGAGGAGGAGGAGGAGGAAGAAGAAGAAUUAAUGCCCCCCAGCAACAUUCACUAUUUGUAUUAUGGCAUAUGUUUCCAAUAAUAUCUUCAGCCCGGAGUGGUUAACCUUUCUCAGCAUCUCCCUCUCUGUCCUCCAUCAAGGCAAGUGAGAAUCAUAAGCAGACUUCAAGGACAUAGUCCAACCAUUCCAACACAUUCUGCACGUGUCAUCUAGGAUCCUGAGAGCCAGACAGAGAAGACUAGAGGGCCACAUUUGGCCCCCACUCCUGCGAUUCCCCAGUAUUGCUUUAACCAAAAGUGCAAACACAUUUUUUAAUGUUUAACACAGGGACGUGAUUGCCAG